rnacentral:rRNA from 1 species
GCGGCGGCUAACACAUGCCAAGUCGAGCGAGUAGAGAGAAGCUUGCUUCUCUUGAGAAGCGGCGGACGGGUGAGUAAUGCCUAGCGGAAUCUGCCUGGUAGUGGGGGAUAACGUUCGGAAACGAACGCUAAUACCGCCUACGUCCUACGGGAGAAACGCAGGAGACCUUCGGCCUUGCGCUAUCCAGAUGANCCUAAGUACGGAUUAC